rnacentral:misc_RNA from 1 species
UCUCCGUUGGUGAACCAGCGGAGGGAUCAUUACAGAGUUGCGAAACUCCCUAAACCAUUUGUGAACCUACCCCCAAAACAGUUGCUUCGGCGGCGCCCUAGCCGGCCCGCCGGAGACCGCCAAACGCUUUGUUUUUACACUGGCCUCUCUGAGUUAUUGUAACAAAUGUAGUCUUAUUAUAACAUAAUAAAACUUUCAACAACGGAUCUCUUGGCUCUC